UUCCCUUCCAAACAAAGCCGAACGAAACCGAUUAUUUUUCAUUUUUUUCCCACGAGAUUACUUUCCAUCUAGUGGUGUAAUUUUCCGGCGAACUGCUGAGAAUCCAUUCCCCAUCUUAUAACCGGCCAAAACCGAUCCGCGCUCGUCUCUGGAGAAACCGUGCAAGCUAACCUAGCUCUAACGCCAUUCCCAAAUGUCUAUGAAAGAACCAAUUCGAACCCUGUAGCAGAAGCUGAAUUCCCCAUGCAGCGAUGGAUAGCUCCGUCCCCUUCACCAGAAACGUUCAUAGCUUCUCUGGCAAUGAAGUGAUAUGUCACACGUCGAUGACUUUCCAUUAAAGCUAUUGGGUUUUGCAAUGCCCCAUGCACAUCUAGAAUCUUGUCCUCCAAAAAGAUGGUGAUGUCAAGGAACCACGAAUGUGCUGAAAUAUCUAUGGAGGGAAAGGAAAUGGCGAAGAAAAGCAUAAGAAGAUGAUGACGUGGACAAGUCUUUGCCCCCCCCACCCCUCAUUUCUCUAACAGCUCUGCUUCCCUUAAAUUUGAAGUUCCAACUGUGGAGUAGUUACCAAAUCUUAAGAAGCUUACAUCGGGUCAAUGUCUGCGAUUCUUUUUUACAGUUGUACUCGAUGGACAAAACUCCCGCUUACAUGUGGUACGGGAGAUAAACAGGUAUGUGACUUGAUCUCUUUUUGGAGCUCUUUUGUUUAAUGCUAUAUAAGUACAUAUAAAUACACGUUUCAUACUUGCAUGUGUGAGUGUUUUUAUAGGAGAGGGAGCUAGAAUAUUGACUCCACGAAUUUGAGUCAAAUUUGAUCCGAACCGCUGGUGCAUUUGCACCUUUCGGUUAAAAAGCAGAGGAUAUCCGUGCAUUCAGUGGGAGAAUUUAUGCUUCUCCAUUUUUGUUUUUAACUUGAUCUUCUUGGGGGGCAUUUAUGCUUCUCCAUUAGUUGUACAAGAACAAUCUAUAAAUGGAGAAAACCACAUGCUUGUGAAAGAAAGGUUGGUAAGGGUGAUUAAAGAAUUUGGUCUGAAGUUUUAACAAACGAAGGUGAAUUAAAGAAAUGGUGCUUUUCCUUGUAAAGCCAACUGAUUCUUAUAUUCCUUAUCUAUAAAAGAUGUUAUUGCUUCUUUAACUUUAGUUUCAACAUUCGUAUCGCCGAAAUUAAAGUUGUUAUCAUACAUGUGAUAGAUUUUUAUAUGGAUUGAAUAUGUACAUAGAUGGAAGUUAGAUGCUAGUUAGAGUAUUUUCCCCUAAAAUUUUCUCUCCCCCUCCAGCUUUUUUCUCUCUGCAAUUAUUUGGAUCGAAUAAAAGAAGAUACAUGAUUAAAGGAAAAAACCCAUCAUUUAGAUUCCAAUUUCUGUCCACAAAUUAUAAUGUUUCUGCAGAGCACUUGGAAGUGGGAUGUGGUGGAGCCAGUCUUUGGUGUGAGGGAUUACUCUGGGCUACUUUGCACUGGGUGCGCAAUUUGUAAGAUGUCUAACCCCCUUGCUAUCUUCACUUAUUUUUCUUUAAUUCUUGGUCUCCCCAAGUUGGUUUUAUGUCCAUCAGAUUUACCAGAAUUUUCUUCUACUAGUGCUCUUUUCCUUUUGACAUAUUUUCACAUAUUCUUUCUUCCUUUUUCUGUUUUUUCUGAUCAGGAAUAUUCUUUGUUCCUUUGAUGAGACCUUUUUUCCACAGCCCCAUGUUGCUUGGAUUCUCCUGUUUGUGUUCUUAUGCGGUCUAUGUGUGGGCAUCUAAUUCUAAAAAUGCAUGCAUACUUUUACGUGGGAUUUACUACUGGUUAAACUUGCGUCCGUGUUUGGUAUCGCAUUCAUAAGUCGUUCUCUAUUCGCACAAAAAUUGUUUGGUGAAUUGUUUUGGGAAAGAUAUUGAUGAAAACGUUCAUGAAAACAUACACGCAGUUGUUCUUAUGAUUCUUCAGAAUUGUGUUUUUGUACAAAAAUGACUUUGUUUCUAUACACACUGUACAAUAAAGUGAAAAGUAACCGAUUCUGACACAAUUACAAACCAAUGGUUGCAAUCAAGCCACAAACUUACCAUUUGCAUACCUUCAAUGGCAUUUGUAUUAGGAAGAGCUCUGUAGCACAGACACAGACAAGAGAUAUCUAAGAAAAUAGGGAUACGAACACGACAAGGGAAACGGCACAAAUAAAUAGGAGUAUUUACUUUAUAUUAAUGGUAACAUAGUUAUAUGUACAAGCAUGAAGCAUCACUAUAUAUAAACAAGCAUCACAUAUACUUCAUACGUAUAUUUAUUAUAUUACCCUUUUAACUCAAAAUAUUUGAAGUAUUACAUAUUCACUCUCAAAAUUUAGAAAAUUGUAUAUUUAACCCUGCCUUGUCCGUAUACGUGUUCCGCCACCUUGGCGAUUCCCCCUAAGGGAUUAGUUAAAUUUAAUGAACACGCCCCAUCCAUACGUUUUUUGCCGUGUCCCCAAUGAGUCCCCAAAUCAUGCAUCAACCUGGGGACAUGCCGGCCUCUAGGAGUGUGGGUGCAUAAUAUAGGAAGUCUUAUUAGUUCAUGUUGGGACAUGUCGCUCUCUAGAAUAAUUGGUAUUUCAUUGAGGAAGAAUCUUAUUUCUUCACGCUGGGAGUAAUUGGUAUAUGCCGUCAUAUGUUUUGACAUAUUCUAUUCUUUUAGUCUACCCAUCUAUUUAUCUUUUAUUUCUAACCCAUAAUACUAUGGAUGCUAUAUACCAUCCCUAACCCUGUUAGGGGAAUGGGGGAUGCUGCAAAACAAUUUCGAGCAGCCGAUCCGGCCAUUCAUCUCGAUACGAAUGGCUUGAAUUGAAUUUGAGCACAUAUAAAUCUGAACCGUGAGUUGCUCGGUUAAGAUCCGAGCCGUCAAUUGCCGAAAUGAACAGCUGAAUCGGAUUCCCCCUAUUGCUAGCUCAGCAUGCAGUCAGCACAAGGUUUUCUUUAAUCAACCGGCUCUUCUAGGGAUGAUGAAAAAAUCUGCACCAACAAAACUCCGCACUCUCAGUAUUUAAUUAGCAACUUGGAAGUAAAGGUGGAGCUCAUCAAUCAACAUCAAUGAGGUUCAAAAAAGUUGGACCCCAGAUGACAAUUUGAUCAAGUUCUUAAUUAGAAAUAAAAACCG